AGCAAGCCAUAGGGAACAAGCCAGUAAGCAGCAUCCCUCCAUGACCUCUGCAGCAGCUCUAGCAUCUAGGUUCCCACCAUAUUUGAAUUUCUUCCCUGGCUUCUUCAUUGAUGGGCUGUAAUGUGGAAAUGUAAGCUUCUCCAAGUUGCUUUUGGUCAUGGUGUUUCAUCACAAAGUAGUGACCUUAAGGAAGACACAAUGUGAGAAAGGAAUUAGAAAAAGAUAUAGGGGGAAGAUGAGAGGUAAGGCCAAGAAGAGAUGAUGAGAAAGGAGUGUGAGGGGAGGCUGAGAGAAGAUGUGAAGGCAGCCUGUGAGGAGAGGGUGCAAGGAAAGGAUGCGAGGGAUGAAGAAAAAACAUACAAUGUGAGGAGGGAUGGAUCAUGAGGAGUUAUGAGGAGAUGUGAAGAGAGGCUCACAUAAGAGAUGUGAGGUGUUUUAAAUAAAUCCAGCCAGUCCUUGCUUUUAUACACUGAAGUUCUGUCCACACAUGGAUAUAAUUUUUACUCAUCACUGUAGUUUGAUAAAGAUGAAAGGAAACAAAAAAUUGCAGCCUGUAGUUCAGAGGGAAAAUUGUAGUUUUUAACAUUUACUCUGCUCCCUUCAUAAGAGUAAUUUUUUUUUUCUAAAAAGAAUUCUAAAGUUCUUUAGGCACUCUGAUUUGGCCUCCAGAUGCCAUUGAAAUGUGUUUACAGAUGUGUGAUAAGACUUCCGGUGAGACACAACACACGUCUACUCAAUGAGAGAGGAGACAGAUGACAGUCCAAAGAGGGAUACCACAAAAAUCCAACUUGGAUUUUUGGGGUUACUUGCAGAAUUAUGGGUGAGGAGUUACUUGCAGAAGUGGAAAUGACUCGAAGACAGCUGCAUGUCCAAACCUCACUCCAGCAUGGGUGACAGAGACAGCUCAUGAUCUGGGAACCUGGAACACAGUCCACAGCCUGCAGGCAGCUCAGCCUGUCAGUACCUCAGUGGGCCUCGGAGUUCUCUUUGCACAUUGGCUUUUACUGUUUAGUCCAACAGGCAGGAGCCUGAUGAAUCUGUUCAGGGAUUGUGGGUUGGGGGAUGUUAUAUCCUGAAUGACACUCUUUAUUCGCCCUUUUAAAAGUAGAUAUAUUUCGGUGACUUUUGGAGAAGGACCCUGGUACCUCAGGGAUAUGCAAAAGGUUCCAGGUUGCUAUUGCCACUAGGGACAAGCAGAAGACAAACUCCAGCUGAUGUCAGAUUGAAGCUUCUCUUCCCUGCUCGAUUCCAGUUCCUUCCUCUCAGCUCACCUCCCUCUCACCUCCCCUCGCCUCCCUUCCUCCUCAGUGAAGGAAAGGGCUCCCAUGGAUAUACAUCUGCCUUGGCAUAUCAAUUUGCAGUGAAACUAAAUGCAUCUUCUCCUAGUGAGGCUAGACAAAGCAGCCCAGUUAGGCAAAAGGAAGCCAAAGGCAAGCAGCAGAGUUAGAGAUAGCCCCUACUUCGGCUUUUAUGUGUCCCACAUGAAGACCAAGUUAGACAUCUGUUACAUGUGUGUAGAAGGGCUUAGUCUGGCCCAUGAAUGCUCUGUGGUUGGUAGUUGAGUCUCUGUGAGCCCCUGUGGGCCCUGAUUAGUUUCUAUAAGUUUUCUUGCGGUGUUUUGACCUCUCUGGCUCCUGCAAUUCUUCCCCUCCUCCUUGUACAACAUUCCCCAAUCUCCAUCUAAUGUUUGGCUGUGGGUCUCUGCAUCUGUUUCCAUCAGCUGCUGAGUGAAGCCUCUCUACUGACAGUUAUGCUCGGCUCCUGUCUGCAAGUAUAAGAGAAUAAAUAUCAUUAACAGUGUCA